rnacentral:lncRNA from 1 species
CUGAGUGCCUCUGAAAGGCACUGCAGGCUAAGCCAGCACACUCCUGCUUCCCAAUGAAGAAAAAAAACCUGCUGCCUUAAACGUCAUAGAAUGUCAGUUAAUGUGUUUGUUUCUGUUGUUAGGGAAAGAGAGGUACUGUUUUAAAGUACCAGUACAGUGACAAAAUAGUGGAUACACUCUGCUUAACAUGAAGUACUUUCCUUUACAACCUAAGUAUCAUACAGGGCUGUGCUAUGGUUGUGCUCCAGCUACAAAAACUGAUGGAUGAAGGAGUGCAUGGCCCCACCAUUCAGAUCAUCUCUGUGUGUCUUCCACAGGGAUGCCAAACCUCCUUCACUUGAGACUUAGUAAGACAACCUCAUCCCAUUCCCGAUUCUCAAUCCCAGCUAUAACUUUUCUCCUUGAAACAGUCAUCCCUUUCCAAAAUUAAGGGCAGAAAUAUGGGUCACAUUUUCUCUUUUCUCUUCUUAGUUCCUUCAGAAGGAGAAAGCAGAGCCCAUUUGUGAGAUCCUGCUAUCACAAAUCCCAAAGUUUGGCCCAAGAUAGAAACCUUUAGAGCUUAUUUGUGAGUGUGGUGCUGUUUCCAGAACAUUAAUGUCUCCACUGUGAGUCUAAAAGGAGAGUGCACUUUGAUUCAUCACUCUGAAACACUUCAAGAUGAUACAGCUAUACUUUCAAUCUCAGCAGGAGAGAAGAGGACACACCUGGAGCAGCCAAUCUGACCUUGGAAAUGGAGACCCUCUACCACUGCAGGCACAGUAGAGACCAUUCUGCACAGUUAAGGGUAGCAGGUGCUCCUUGGGUGUUUAUGAGCACAAUCUUAAAGGAUGUUAAGAUGAACAAAAAAAAUGUAGUCUGAAAGAAAGCAAAAGGAUGAUUACAUUCUCACAGUAAGGAGAUAAAGGAGGGGAGCAAAUUGGAUAUGAACCGUAUUCAUCAGAGGAUAUGAAAGGGAGUAGCUGAAUUCAAGAACACUGCAAUGCAAAAAGAACAUUUCCUCAAGAAGGAAAACUAUCUGUCCAGCAGAAUUCCUAAAAUAUUACUGCAAUCCCACAGCUUUGUCCAAAAACUCAGUAAAUAAAACUUCUGUCUGAAACUUUUCCCA